rnacentral:tRNA from 1 species
GGGCGCGUAGCUCAGCGGCAGAGCGCCUCGUUCACACCGAGGAGGUCCCUGGUUCAAAUCCAGGCGCGCCCA